GUCGUGCAGAGGGGUCGGGGCUUCGUC
rnacentral:piRNA from 1 species